rnacentral:lncRNA from 1 species
GGGUGCUCCUGCUGCUGCUGCUGCUGCUGCUGCUGCUGUGCUAGAAGCAAAGGAUCUCUCACCACAAGGGCUCCUCCAAUUCCAUCUGGUAUUAGUAUGCUGGCUGCAGUGUUACUGUUGCUAACGUUGUCUCUUCUUCCAGGCACUGGAACACGAUCGAGAAUAUAAACUUGUGUAGACCAGGAAGAUACAGAGACAAUGGAGGAUAGAGAAAGAGGUGCGUACCUUCUUUGGAAGUCGUAGCGUGAUCUUCGAGCCUUCGCCUCUUAUCCACAGUUCUGGGAGGCUGCUGCUGAGCUUUGGACGACGACUUUUGCCGCUCCAGAUCGUCCUCGAGGUGCUUCCGCUCCGCCCGAAUGGCCGACUUGAUCCCAUACUUCUCUCCCACCAGGAGCUCGACGUGGUAACCCUCGAGCAUUGUUUUGAUCACGUCCUCCAACUCCUGAUCCGUCAUGUUCACCAGCGUCUGGACCGUGAAUCCCAUCUCGGCCAUCUUUGCCAGAGUCGUGAUGCGCACGCCAUAGUCCUUGAAGAGCUCGUCCAGCGUCUUGG